CACCAAGCUAGCAGGUAGGCUCUGGACAGGACAGGCCCUGAGCCAGCCACCGAGCUCUGCAGCUCACGUGCCCUUCCUGUCCUCUAGGGGUCCAUGCACUA
ensembl:miRNA Mir6315 microRNA 6315